rnacentral:rRNA from 1 species
AUUGAACGCUGGCGGCAGGCCUAACACAUGCAAGUCGAACGGCAGCACAGAAGAGCUUGCUCUUUGGGUGGCGAGUGGCGGACGGGUGAGUAAUGUCUGGGAAACUGCCCGAUGGAGGGGGAUAACUACUGGAAACGGUAGCUAAUACCGCAUAACGUCGCAAGACCAAAGUGGGGGACCUUCGGGCCGCACACCAUCGGAUGUGACCAGAUGGGAUUAGCUAGUAGGUGGGGUAAUGGCCCACCUAGGUGACGAACACUAGCUGGUCUGAGAGAAGGACCAGCCACCAUGGAACUGAGAGACGGUCCAGACUCCUACGGGAGGCAGCAGUGGGGAAUAUUGCACAACGGGCGCAAGCCUGAUGCAGCCAUGCCGCGUGUAUGAAGAAGGCCUUCGGGUUGUAAAGUACUUUCAGCGGGGAGGAAGGCGGUGAGGUUAAUAACCUUGCCGAUUGACGUUACCCGCAGAAGAAGCACCGGCUAACUCCGUGCCAGCCGCCGCGGUAA